rnacentral:rRNA from 1 species
UUCUAACCGUAAACGAUGCCAACUAGCGAUCUGUGGGGCAUAAAUUUAUGACCCUACAGGAAGCUUCCGGGAAACCAAAGUUUUUGGGUUCCGGGGGAAGUAUGGUUGCAAAGCUGAAACUUAAAGGAAUUGACGGAAGGGCACCACCAGGAGUGGAGCCUGCGGCUUAAUUUGACUCAACGCGGGAAAACUCACCCGGCCCGGACACCGUAAGGAUUGACAGAUUGAUAGCUCUUUCUUGAUUCGGUGGUUGGUGGUGCAUGGCCGUUCUUAGUUGGUGGAGCGAUUUGUCUGGUUAAUUCCGAUAACGAACGAGACUCUAGCCUACUAAAUAGUGGCUGAAUUAUUAGUUCGGCCUACUUCUUAGAGGGACAAGGGGUAUCUAGCCCCACGAGAUUGAGCAAUAACAGGUCUGUGAUGCCCUUAGAUGUCCGGGGCUGCACGCGCGCUACACUGAAGGAGUCAACAUGUGUGGAAACCUAGUCCGGAAGGACCGGGUAACCCUAUGAAACUCCUUCGUGAUUGGGAUUGGGAAUUGUAAUUAUUUCCCUUGAACGAGGAAUUCCUAGUAAAUGCGGGUCAUCAUCUCGCGUUG